UACAGAGGUCCCAAGCGUUGUUCGGAAUUACUGGGCGUAAAGCGCGCGCAGGCGGCUUUCCAAGUCAGUGGUGAAAGCCCGGAGCUCAACUCCGGAAUUGCCAUUGAAACUGUAAAGCUUGAGUACGAGAGAGGUGAGUGGAAUUCCCAGUGUAGAGGUGAAAUUCGUAGAUAUUGGGAAGAACACCGGUGGCGAAGGCGGCUCACUGGCUCGUUACUGACGCUCAGGCGCGACAGCGUGGGGAUCAAACAGG
rnacentral:rRNA from 1 species